UACGUAGGGGGCUAGCGUUGUCCGGAUUUAUUGGGCGUAAAGAGCGUGUAGGCGGCCAGGUAGGUCUGCUGUGAAAACUCGAGGCUCAACCUCGAGACGUCGGCGGAAACCAUCUGGCUAGAGUCCGGAAGAGGAGAGUGGAAUUCCUGGUGUAGCGGUGAAAUGCGCAGAUAUCAGGAAGAACACCAGUGGCGAAGGCGGCUUUCUGGGCCUUACCUGACGCUGAGACGCGAAAGCGUGGGGAGCGAACCGG
rnacentral:rRNA from 1 species